rnacentral:rRNA from 1 species
GACGAACGCUGGCGGCGCGCUUAACACAUGCAAGUCGAGCGGGAACCGGGCCUUCGGGCCCGGGGACAGCGGCGAACGGGUGAGUAACACGUGGGUAAUCUGCCCUCGGUACUGGGAUAGCCCGGGGAAACCCGGAUUAAUACCGGAUAGCCCUUCGAGCCCUCGGGCUCGCAGGAAAAGGUAGCUUCGGCCUCCGACCGAGGAUGAGCCCGCGGCGGAUUAGCUUGUUGGUGGGGUAACGGCCUACCAAGGCGACGAUCCGUAGCUGGUCUGAGAGGACGAUCAGCCACACUGGGACUGAGACACGGCCCAGACUCCUACGGGAGGCAGCAGUGGGGAAUCUUGCCCAAUGGCGAAAGCCUGAGGCAGCGACGCCGCGUGCGGGAAGAAGGCCCUCGGGUUGUAAACCGCUUUCAGGAGGGACGAAGCCACUCGGGUUAAUAGCCCAGAGGGUGACGGUACCUCCAGAAGAAGCCCCGGCUAACUACGUGCCAGCAGCCGCAGUAACAC